GCCAAAAUGGGUUUUACAUGUUCUGGAUGCUCUCAUGCAUCAAUUUGGUUCUCUAGAGCAACUCCAAAAGCCUCGACAUAAUCUUAGCUAAAUUUAGAGUUUUUUACUCUAAAAAAUAGACAACUUCAUCAACGAUGGGGGGUAAACCAACAAACUCUACAAAUAUUUUCAAUCCAUAUUCAAAUCAGCUCACAGUCGCUCGCUGUCGCCGCGACGAAGACUGGAGGUCGUCGUCGCCACCACCUGAAACUAGUCGUCGCGGAACGUUUUAGCUCUUAGAUAUUGGACAAAAACGAUGCCUUCAUCUAGAUGUUGAAAUGUAGAGCCAUUGUAGCUUCUCCAGGUUGUUCUUCCUCUCUGAGAUGAAUAACAGAUAGGCUAGCGCGGUUGUUCUCCGUAUCCUCUCGUUGGUGCUACGACAUGAGGGUUGUCUGUCACGCCGCGACCUGAAACUGGACGUCGACGCCGCAACAGUCUAAAGACUGGAGGCU
rnacentral:lncRNA from 7 species